UACGGGGGGGGUGAAGCGUUGUUUCGGAAUUACUGGGCGUAAAGGGCUCGUAGGCGCCAACUAAGUCAGACGUGAAAUCCCCUCGAGCUUAAACUGGGGAACUGCGUCUGAUACUGGAUGGCUUGAAUCCGGGAGAGGGGAUGGCUCAGAAUUCCAGGUGUAGCGGUAGAAAUGCGUAGAGUAUACGGAGGAACACCAGCGGCGAAGGCGGGUAGCUGGGCCAACACUGACGCUGAUCGCGCGAAAGCUAGGGUAGCAAACGGG
rnacentral:rRNA from 1 species